UACGUAGGGGGCAAGCGUUGUCCGGAAUCAUUGGGCGUAAAGAGCGUGUAGGCGGCCCGAUAAGUCCGCUGUGAAAGUCCAGGGCUCAACCCUGGAAUGCCGGUGGAUACUGUCGGGCUCGAGUUCGGAAGAGGUGAGUGGAAUUCCUGGUGUAGCGGUGGAAUGCGCAGAUAUCAGGAGGAACACCGAUGGCGAAGGCAGGUCUCUGGGCAGUUACUGACGCUGAGGAGCGAAAGCAUGGGGAGCGAACAGG
rnacentral:rRNA from 1 species